AAUGUGAAUAGAGGCGCGAGAGCUAAGAGUAAAAUGUGGGAUGUGUUACGAACACAGUUGAACACGUUUGAAAGGGGUGAUCGCCGAAGUGGGGGCUGUGUCGUAGCGAACCUGCUGGUGUGUUGUAAAAGAUAUAACACAUUGUCAAGGAGUCUUGGAGGGCUAUUCUCAUU
rnacentral:ncRNA from 2 species